UACGUAGGUGGCGAGCGUUGUCCGGAUUUACUGGGCGUAAAGAGCGCGCAGGCGGUCGUUCAAGUCGAGUGUGAAAGCCCCCGGCUCAACUGGGGAGGGUCACUCGAUACUGAUCGACUCGAAGGCAGGAGAGGGAAGCGGAAUUCCCGGUGUAGUGGUGAAAUGCGUAGAUAUCGGGAGGAACACCAGUGGCGAAGGCGGCUUUCUGGCCUGCUCUUGACGCUGAGGCGCGAAAGCUAGGGUAGCAAACGGG
rnacentral:rRNA from 1 species